CUCAGAUUAAUGCUUCCUCAGUAGACCAAGCAACACAGAAGGUGGUCUGCUAGGGGCUCUCAUCUAUUAAAACGUUAAAUAUGGUUUCAAACCGAAAGGAAGGGUGGUGCCAAGGGACUCCAGACACUAUAACCACUUCAGUGAGAUGAAGCAGUUACAUUGUUUAUAGUGCCCCUUUAAUCUCUCAGAAAAUACCAGUAGUAAAAAAGCCUCAGGUUGUGAAAUGCUAUUUCAAGGAGUAUAAAAUGUAGUUACCUGCAUACACAGGUUUUGCAAGCCAUGGGUACAUUUAUA